rnacentral:rRNA from 1 species
GGCUUUGAAGUGUGGACGCCAGUCUGCAUGGAGCCGACCUUGAAAUACCACCCUUUAAUGUUUGAUGUUCUAACGUUGGCCCCUAAUCGGGGUUGCGGACAGUGUCUGGUGGGUAGUUUGACUGGGGCGGUCUCCUCCUAAAGAGUAACGGAGGAGCACGAAGGUUGGCUAAUCCUGGUCGGACAUCAGGAGGUUAGUGCAAUGGCAUAAGCCAGCUUGACUGCGAGCGUGACGGCGCGAGCAGGUGCGAAAGCAGGUCAUAGUGAUCCGGUGGUUCUGAAUGGAAGGGCCAUCGCUCAACGGAUAAAAGGUACUCCGGGGAUAACAGGCUGAUACCGCCCAAGAGUUCAUAUCGACGGCGGUGUUUGGCACCUCGAUGUCGGCUCAUCACAUCCUGGGGCUGAAGUAGGUCCCAAGGGUAUGGCUGUUCGCCAUUUAAAGUGGUACGCGAGCUGGGUUUAGAACGUCGUGAGACAGUUCGGUCCCUAUCUGCCGUGGGCGCUGGAGAACUGAGGGGGGCUGCUCCUAGUACGAGAGGACCGGAGUGGACGCAUCACUGGUGUUCGGGUUGUCAUGCCAAUGGCACUGCCCGGUAGCUAAAUGCGGAAGAGAUAAGUGCUGAAAGCAUCUAAGCACGAAACUUGCCCCG